UACAGAGGGUGCAAGCGUUAAUCGGAAUUACUGGGCGUAAAGCGCACGUAGGUGGGUUUGUAAGUUGUUGGUGAAAAGCUUGGGCAUUAACCUGGGGUCUUGUCCGAGCAAAACAGCAAGUCUAGAGUGUAUUAGAGGGAAGUGGAAUUUCCGGUGUAGCAGUGAAAUGCGUAGAUAUCGGAAGGAACACCAGUGGCGAAGGCGACUUCCUGGAAUACUACUGACACUGAGGUGCGAAAGCGUGGGGAGCAAAC
rnacentral:rRNA from 1 species